ensembl:lncRNA
GUCCAGUGCCAGACAGCUUCCCAUACAGCAAAUUUCCCAUAAAGCACUGAAAGCAUGUUUUUUCUACAUCUGGAAACUGUCCUGCUCCUCACUGGUGUUUGAGUGUUGUUCUGAUAUCCUGCUGAAAAGCCUCCAACCAAAAUCAGCCAACACAAAUUAAUAAAUUACCACCAGUCAGCAGGGGCAGAGUAACUGGACGGUGUGUGUUCUUGUCCUGAUGCACCCUACACCUCAACUGAUUAGCUGUAACUCCAUAAUUAAUGUCGAGUGUCCACCUGUGUCUGCUCUCCUCACUGGUACUGCAUUCCCCAUCUCAGAGCCAAAGAAACUCAAGAGGUCCUCCAACGAGCAAACACAUUACAUAAGCAUGAGGUGAGACUGGAGACUCUGAGAGGUAGGGAUGUUGAAAGAGCACUGAUUUAUGAGAACUGGAGCAAAGUGGUAACUGAAGCAAUAGCUCCUUUUCCAUGAUGCUGCCCUGUGUUUUGUAACCUACCUCAUGGCCACUGGAUGAUUAGGACCUUUCCUGAACGCACGAUUUCCCUUACCCUCAGUGUUUAUGAUGGCUGGUUUCAAUUAUUCCUUUCCUUCACACUCUGUAUUUCAACCUGCCUCAGAUGAGCAAUUCAUCUACUCUAUCAAAUAACUUACCAAGAUAGAUUUCACAUGCAAGGCAAAUACAUUUUCCUUCCCCUCAUAAUUCCACAACACUGUUUUUUAGAAUUCUGUUUCUCUUGCCUGAUUCCCAGCAAACCCUUACCCAGAGUAGAGCUUUCUAAUGUGCAGAUUGGAUAUAAAAUGCCAUCAGAUAACAGUGACAUUUCCACCUACUCUGUCCUGACCCUUGUGCCACAACUUUUCCCCCAUGUUACCUGAGCUGAUAUAAAGAGUGGGGUCAGAAAACGUUGCACAGGGCUGAAACAAGACCCCACCAUGGAUUGUCAUGUCCAUGUACAUGACUGAAGUAACUGGUGCCUAUGCAGAUUUGUAUGUAGUGGUGUUCUACGUAUGCAUGUGCACAGCAUGCAUGGCCAUGACGAAUGGUGCCAUGAUGCAUGUGAAAAAGCCCAUUUUUUACACAUGUAUUCAUGCUUUGUGAACUUCUGAUAUCAAUUCAUUUAAGAAUGGAGAGAAAAUUAAGAGAUUUGGUGCAUGUAGUUGCUCAUUCUUAAUACUCUUCUGAUCUUAGCAUAGAUGGGACCUGCACAGAUGAGUGAUGAGCGCUUGGAGGGUGAUUCCGUGGUAGAAGCAUCGUGUGGGUCCCAAGUUGGGUAUGGACACUGCUAUGGCACCCAAGUGAACGGAGCCCUGUGUCAGCAAAAAGCGUGAUGAAUAUCCAGGUGAGCUCAACAAGCACUCAGCAGAAUUCAUCUGCAGCUCAUUGAGGCAACACAGAGAGAGUUCAUGGGGAGUUUAUCAUGGGAACUGCUGAGGGUUAAUGGCCAGCAGAACAGAUUGAGCUGUGGGAUUACUAAAUAAUGAACUUUUCUCUCCAAUAAAUUUGUCCCUGACUUAUAAAAAAUCAAUAACAUACUACAUUUCGGGCUUUUUUUUUCCUUUUCCUUUUGGUGACGGUGGGGAAUGUGGGCUCAGAGUAAUUUUUAAACUACUCUUUCAUAUAUAUGUAUAAAUAUAUUUUACUCUGAUCAUUUAUACAAAAGCUCAGAUGUGCCACAUUUACUGCAGCUUCAUCACCUAGAUAGAUUUUUAUGUGGGUGCCCGGCUAUUGCUUUGUUUAAUCAUUCUUUUCUCUUCCCUCCCCAGUCCCUUGCCUCCCCCUUCCCUUCCAUGCUUUUUAUGACACUAUCGUCAGCGCAGAUAUACAGGAGGGUUUUCAUGUGAUAUAGGAUGUCAGAGAGGUCAGGUCAGCUGGGACAGAGCCAAAAAUAUUAGCACUUUCUAACUGCUGAGGAGAGAAAUUGAAAUAAUGGCACUUAUAAAUUGGCAGGUUUUCAACUGCAGGAGAAGAGAGGGAUUUUUUGCGUGUGUUUAUUUUGUUUCAGAAGGGGAGAGGAGGCGGAUCCAGUUCUUGGCCACAGAAGAGAUGUUCACUGUGCUUUGGGCUCGUGUUUGUGUUAAAUUUGGCCUGGAAGUGGUUGGUGGGCUGGUAUCUGUUCUCAGACACGCAUUUCCUGUUUUUAACCCAAUCUUACUUCCCUCCAUCUCUGUAUGGAAAUAGAAUUAUAGAAUCAUUAAUGUUCGAAGAGACCAUUAGGAUCAUCAAGCCCAACCACAGGUCCCUCAGAUGACUGCAUAUAGCAAGUCUCCCCAAAAUACAGGAGGGACACCCAAUCCAGCUUUUCAGGGAUCUCCUGGGCUCUCUGCUUCAACAGUGAAUCACCAAGCCUUGGUGAAACCAUGGCUCUUUCAGUCACACCAUCACUGUUAGACAGCAUCAGCAAUGGAAAUCACCUCCUCUCACCAAAGCCCAAAGUGCUUUGCAGGAUCUGCCUUCCAAAACCUGCUCUCAUCUGGUCUCUGAUGCUUCACCUCAACCCAGGCACAGCUGUUACAUGUGCCAACCUGGGGAAAUCAGAAGCCAUGCAGCAAUAACUGUUAAUUGACCGAGAGCCACCUCUGCGAUGCCAACAGGAACAAAAGAACAAGCAUCUGGCUUUGCCAUCUGUGCCUGUUUAAAUGCAGCAAAAAGAAACCCUUCUCCAGAUCUCCCAGCUGGGUGGAGAGGUAACUGGAUUCAGCAGUAACGUGGAGUUGCAGGUUGGCUGGGUCCUAGUCACUCUGACAUGUAAAACCCUUUGCACGAGACAUGUUGACCUUCCCAGCCCUGGCUUUGUAGAUGAGAGCAAUGAUGGGCUCUGAUGGACGCAACUGAGCAGCCUGGAGUUAUUUCUAGUCAUGGUUGCAGUUCACUGUGAAUAAAAGUCCAGGUGUUCAGAAAUCACUCAGUGCUCAAAGUACUUGCAAGAGCUUUGAUGCACCCUUUACCUCUUUCCAUCUCACUAGGCAUGGCUAGGAGAGCUCUUCAAUGGAUCACAUGUCCUGGAAAAGGACACCUGUCUUGUGCCCCACACAUCCCAGAGGUCAUAAGGAAGGGAUCACUGGUGUUCAGACAACCUCCUCCACCAAAGUCUGCAAAACAAAUUAAAAGCAUGUCAAAUCUUCUGUUUUCCAAGGAGCUUCACAUGAUAAAAGCUGAGUCAGAGGUCUCUGGUGUGCUGGGAUCCUGAAACUUCUAGGAAGGUUUUCACCCCAACAUGGAGUACGAAGCAUCAGGCCUUCCACCAGGACAGACAUCCUAUUUGUAAACACUGCUUUAUUGUAUCUUACUCUCCUCCAUAAUGCUUUUCACUCCAGCAUGGAUGAACCUUCAUGGGAGUUUUUCCAGUGUCACCCUUAAUAAUGACAUCAUUCUCUUUUUACCAAGACACUUUGCUAGACUGGAAGACAACAGUUUCGUAUCAGUCCCUCAAGACAAGCCAGUAAUCAUCCAACAGACCAUCUCAUCUUCACUGACCAUUCCUGUGAUGGGAGUUGCUCACGUCAGAGGAGCAUUAAAGGUGAGAGGGAACCAGUGUGCAAAGACUGAACUAUGCAUCAGACGUUGGGUGCUGGUAUAGAAUCAUAGAAUCACUGAGGUUGGAAAGACCUCUAAGAUCAUCAAGUCCAACCAUCAACCCAAACCCAUCACCACCAUGCAACUAAACCACGCUAUACAUUGUGAUAUCUUCCCCUUUCUUGAUAACUUCCAAGGAUGGUGACACCACCAUGUUCCUGGGCAGCCUGUUUCAAUGCUUCACCAAAGUACAAGAGGUCCCAACUCUGCUGGAGUAGCUGCAGCCCUUCAGUGCCUCAGCCUUAUGCUCCUGAUUGGCCAUGGGUGUAAUUACUGAACACAACAAACCAAAGAGCUCACUUCUCUGAGUUUUAUUCUCACUCUGGUCAGGUUUCCUGUGGCAGCCUGUAGCUGGAGGUGGCCUAUGCAGAAUUAGCUACUCUACAGCCAGAGCAGCUCCAACCUCCCACUGUGAAUGCGAGCACACAGCUGAAGAAAGGAUUGCCACAAAGGGUUAGGAAGAAAGGAAAAGGAGAUUAAUGCUCAUCCCCUCGAUCUGAUCCUACUCCCUUUGAAACUUUCAGCAAAGCAGAUUAAGGCUGUAAGCUUCACCAGGCAGGGGGUGUUACUCACCACUGCGUUUUGGAAAGUCAAACAACAACCGAACCCUGAUCCUGACCUCCAUGCCUCGCAGAGAUAAAUUAAUAAUUAAAAAUAAUGCUAACGGUAACAUUAAUGAUGAGGUUUGUGCUGCUAAAUGGGGAGUUUUCUCCAGCAGCAGUAUUUUCCUCUGUGACUGGCAGCUCAUUUGCUGCUAUUGAUGCUCUGAAGCAUGAUGAGGAGUAGCUGGGUGAGUAUUUCUCUAACCAAGCACUUUGGGUCAAAUGCAGAGUGAUCUCAUGCAGUAUCUCACAUGGCUGGCCUGAAAUGUCAAGCCCUGCACUUGGAGCGAGGGGCGAGCAGGUCAGGUCAUGUCUGGUUGUAAAAGGAUUGUUUGUGCCACACUCCAUCCAUGGCCUUGUGUUGGGAGGACCCAAACAAUCCUUCCCUUCAUUCUCCAGCAGAAUGGUAUUUUCGGGAAGACAAGGGGCUGGCAUUAACUUCCUUGCAUCUGAUGAUGUUUUUUUUCCUAAUAUGUUUCUUUUGAAACUCACCCUAUUCCAUAGCUGCAAGUCCAGACCCAUAUCUGCACCGAAGGAACAGAAGAAUCCUUAGGUCUUCCCUUUGCCUGUGUCAGUUUUGCAAUUCAGCUCCAUCAGGACAGCCACAUGAGUUUUGCUCUGUAAGGAAACUCCUGCACGGUGCAGAUUGCUGGGGCCAUUCAGAUCCACAUGUUGCUUCUGUGCCUAACACAGCCAUGACUCACUCAGAGGGUGGUGAUGCACUAGAACAGGUUGCCCGAGGAAGUUGUGGAUGCCCCAUCCCUGAAGGCAUUCGAGGCCAGGCUGGAUGUGGCUCUGGGCAGCCUGGUCUGGUGGUUGGUGACCCUGCACAUAGCAGGGGGUUGAAACUGGAUGAUUAUUGUGGUCCUUUUCAACCUUCAACUUUUGCAACCUCUAUGCAAGGGAGAGAGGUGGUAAUAGCAUGUAAGAUCACCUCCAAUAGAUGCCAGCAGUUAUUUCUAUCCAUAGAGAAACAAGGAGCCAGAAUUUGCAAAAUAGGUGCUUUGUGCUGAUUGUCCCUCUCUUGACCUUCCAUAGCGUGGUACUCACAGCAACGUCUCCAUUAGCAAUAUUCACCCUCAGCUCCCAUUAUAGUCAAUGGCACUUGCAUGACAUGAUCAAUCUCACCAAAAUAAGCCAAACCAAACCACCCCCUGGGAGUGCUGAUUUCUUACUGAUGUCUGCCAGGUGAGCCAGAAUCGACCAGCUCAGGUGGAAGCCAUUGCAGCUUGCAUGUCUCAGGCUGUGGGGAUGAUCCCUACUCCCUACAAGGGUAGACUUCAAAUCCCUGGAAAUAAUAUAAGUACAUGAAACCAAUGGGGGCUGGAACUCACUAUAACAACUUCUCUGAUCUGGAGAGGAAACCAUUGAUUUCCCAGUUUCCUGGUAUGGAGACAUCUCUUCUUCAGUGUUGUCCUGUCAGAGGUCAUCUAAGAUUGGGGAUUUAUAGGGAAAAUUGCAACAUGGUUGACCUUGACUCUACAAUGGAGGAAACAAUAUCGAAUCUCUGUCCUUCUCCUCAUUUUUUAGCCCUAUUCUGAUGUUUUUCUUGAGACAGCAUGCUGUUGAGGGACCUCAUCAUUUUUAAUUUUUCUUUUCCCCUUCAUCAAGCCAACCAUUCUAUUAUAAAAUGGUGGUUCCAUUUCUUAAUCUUCCUAUUUUCUUCUCAGUGUGUGUUUGCUAAUCAAUUUCACAAGCUGCUGCGUGAAGAGUGGGAAGAAGGGCUGCUCUCCUCCUUCUUUUGGACCUUUUCCCAGAAACUAGACCAAGCCAGUUUUCUCUCUGGUAGCCUGUAGCUCAUGUUAGAUCCCCAUGUACAUGGACAGAAGGGGCUACUGAGGUUGGAGCCUUGUAGCUGAGAAGCCACCACCUCUAGUCUCUCCUUUCGUCAUCAUAUAGGAACAGGUUGCCCAGGGAAGCGGUGGAGUUACCUUCCCUGGAGGUUUUCAAGAGGAGAGUAGAUGUUGCAUUGAGUGUCGUGGUUAGUGGGCAUGGUGGGGAUGGGCUGAUGAUUGGCUUAGGCGAUCUUAGUGGUCUUUCCAACCAUAAUGAUUCUAUAAUCCUUAGGAUGGAUGAGGAGACUUCAUCCAGCAAUUUCCAGCGCACCAUGAUGAAUGGCUGGAGGGUAGCAGGUGACGUCUCAGAGAACAUCUCAAAGGAAAGGACAAAGAUUGAAGCAAAUGAACUGCUGUAAGGGCAUAGCUUUUGUCUCCAACUCCACAUGAGUUACAAGAAGCUCAUAAAUAGAUGAGCAACUUGUAUGCAUUGAGCAACUCAUGUGUAUGUCACUGAAGCUGGAAAUGUUCAAGGAACAUUUAGACGUUGUGUUGAGGGAUGUGGUUUAGUGAGAACUCUUGGUGAUGGGUGGAUGGUUGGACUGGAUGGUCUUGUAGGUCUUUUCCCACCUUGGCAAUUCUAUGAUUCUAUGAUUGCUACAGCUCAGCGCAGUCUGGAAGUGCUGGAACUCCUUUUCAGCUGCUGGAGCUGAGAUCUCUAAAGGUGCUCAGGUGCCUAAAGAUGCUGACAUGCUUACUAGGCUUUGCAGAAGUGCUCAUUUUUUAAAGUCCUUAUAGUUAUCUCUCUUCAGACUCCAAAGUGGCUCCAGAAAGCUGCUCUGGAAAGUCUACAGAUACAUGAACAAUGUUUUAAUCCUCUGACCAGAGAAAAAUCUCUGUCCUUCCAGCCACCUGGUGCACAGCAGUUCAUAUGCACACCGCUGAGGCACACCACCCUGGAAUGAUUCCUUUCCUCUAAGCCCGUCUAGCCAGCAUGUCAUUAUUAUUUUUGAGUGAUCAUGUGUUUUGAGAUCAAAGGACUUAAAAUAAAGCAAUAGCUGUGUUGCAGCCAGCCUCACUGCGUGGUUCUGAAAGUGUAUACGUGUUGUCUGCCUUGUUGGGAAAGCACAGGAAUAAAGAGAGUUCAGAGGAUACAAAUCAGGUUGCUCAGAGAAGCUGUGGAUGCCCCAUCCCUGGAGGUGCCCAAGGCCAUGUUGAGUGUGGCCCUGGGCAACCUGAGCUGGUGGGCAGCAACCAGCCACAGGAGGGAGGUUGAAACCCUAUGAUCUUUAAGAUCCUUUCAUGGGCUAAAACAUGCCCAGAACACUAAUCCAGAGUUUCCUCACUCCUAAAAGGAGUUGAGGAUGGACCAUAUAUUGUACGAUCAAGGGACCAAACAGCAGAGAAUUCACUCACUGGGCAGUACAGAAGUAACAUACAACUCAGAUCCACAGAAAGACCCACAGGGAGCUGAACACGUCAGAGCAGCUUCUCCCUCAGCACUGCAGGUAGGAUUUCCUGAAAGACUCACCCACUUUCUGCACCUGCUCCCCUUGGCAUCAAUAAGAGGAGGAGGGGAAAGAAGGGAACUGCUAUUGAUUGUGAAAAUGCAAUUCAGCGGAUGCUUCAAGAAAUCAGAAUCUUAGAAUCAGAGAAUAUUCUGAGUUGGAAGAGACCCACAACGACCAUCAAGUCCAACCCCUGACUCCACACAGCAGCACCUAAACCCUAUGUCUGAGAGUGAUGUCCCUGUGCCCAUUGCCUUGGGCAGCCUGCUCCUCUGGUGGGGGCCUAUCCCUCCAAUUAAUCCUCCUUCCUCCAUUCUCUGCUUCAAGGAAGUGUCCAGCCAAACCUUCGUGAUUCACGCUAUAAAGAGAUCAAAUCAUGUCAGUACUUCUAUGUUUUGCUGCUGAAAAGGAAGAUUAUCUUUCCUGCCUCUGACAAAAGACCACUAAAAGCAAUUUGCAGACAAUACCCUAGUUAAGAACAAUAAGCCAAGCGUAUGUCAUUAGUAACCAGACAAGUUCAAAGGCAUUUGUACUCCUGCCUGGGUACUCCAGUCACUCUGCUCUGUACUGUGAAAAGCACUACAUGUACUUCCUGAGAGCUCUUCUCCAUCAAACUACCAAUAGAAUGAACCUUUUGUGCAUUUUUGUAUAACAAGAAAUGGGCUUGCAAUUUUUCUUCACAGGUUUAAGUAUUGGGGAGUUUUCUUCCCUGGGAUAAAGUGGUGACAUGCUUGGCAACCCAAUACUCACCAAACAAUGGGGAUAAAUAAAAUAUAUUCAAGAAAGGGGUAUUUAUUAUUAUUAUUACUAUUAUUAUUACUAUUAUAGCUAUCCAACCAAUCUAAGGAAAAAUAUUUCACAGUAAGGGUGGUGAGGCACUGGUACAGGUUGCCCAGAGAGGUGGUGGGUGCCCCAUUCUUGGAGACAUCCAAGGUCAGGCUGGAGGGGCUCUGAGCACUGAUGGAGCUGUGGCUGUCCCUGUUCAUUGCAGGCAGUGGGGCCAGAUGGUCUUUAAGGGUCCCUUCCAACUCAAACCAAUCUGUGAUAUGCCAUGAAUCCAACCACUGAGUGAAAACAGUACUUUGUGAGAGAAGUGCCAAACAAUGCCAAACAGAUACUGGAGGAUGGUAGCCCUCCUGCUUGCAGCAGUGCUCUGAUGGCUCAGCAGAUGCCAAGCAGCUGGUGCUGCCUACUGGCCUGUGCAAGGGUUCAUGCAUAUCAGUUGUCCCCAUUCAUAUAUGUUUAUGACAGAUGCCCAUCCACUGGACCCUACCAGUCCAAGACAAUGACACUCAAUAACUGCAUCUCUGUCUCUAGGUUUCCAAACAGACAAAAAGCUUUACACAGGUAAGUAGAACGAAACCUUAGGCUUCUCAGAAGCACACUUAUGGACUGUGAAGAAAAUUUUGGCGAUGAGUUUUUCACCCCUGGGACAACAUCCUAUGCAUCAUAGCAAGAAUACAUCGGGGAAAGUGCACACCUGGAAGAGCUCACAGUCUGAAGGAAUUGGAUAGAAACCUCACAUCUGAUGUUGUGCCUGGUUUUUAAAGCAGUUUUGAACACUGGGUCCCAAAAUAUGUUCCCUGCUCUGAAGUUUAAGCAAGGGCAACCUGCUCCUCACGCUUCAAUAGCAAGCUGCACUCAAGAGGACAUUUGCUGUCCGCUCCUAUGGAUGACAAAACACAAUUUAUGGGAUGUGUUGUACAGAAAGGAGGCAGCCUUUGCCUCAAGGUGUAGGUAGCAGAUUGACCAAAGCUAGAGGUCAAUAGGCCAAUAUUUGACCAGGCAUGGCUCCUCCUUGCAUCCCGUUUGGGAGCCUUUCUGCAAGCAGAGAGCAGAGAUUGAGAAAUCAGCAAGAUUGGUCACCCUUCCCUUCAUUGCUUAAAUUAUUUACUUUACCGUUUUCUCUUCUCCUGGCAGCUGAUUUGUCAAAGCAAGUGAAGCAGCUAGAAAGAGAGUUGUGGCUGCAGCAGGAAUAUUACAGCAAUUAGAAAGGGCCAUAAACAGUUCUCUACAUAUGAAACUGCUCAUUGAAUUUGACAAGCAGCCUUUUCUUCUUCUCCCCGCCACCAAAUACAAUGCAGCCUCUUUCCCUUUCAUAAAUGCCAGCACUUUUUCUUUCGGUUCCCACCAAGGGUCCCUCACACUCAACACUCAGAUCAAUACGUUUGUGGACUGAAAGGGACCUUUCUCCUCAACACUCAGCCUCUCGCGGACAGAAUUAAGGCUGAUUGAGUAUGUCACAGUCCGACUGCAAUUUAGAGAGGCAUCGUGCAACCGUGCUGUCCUGGCACCGGUCCAGCUGUCAGAUUUAAUAGAAAAGUAGAGCAGCUUCAUCUGCCCCAACCAGCACGCUGCUCUCUGCAGCCACUGAUUUAGGCUUCCUACACGUUACGGUCUGUCACUUGGAAGUGAUGGAUGAGGUACCAGUGGAUGUCUCUUGCUCACUCCCGGUAGCGAUAAGCAAGUAGCAGGUACGUCAGGAGAAGAGCUGAAGGGAUUAUCUUGGGCUUAUUUUGUGUUUGCCAAUACUGAAGGCGGAGAACAUGCUGCCAGAGCAGGAUGUUAUAAAUUAUAUUGUGCUAUAGCAGGUAGGGCUGAAACAUGGUGGCAAUGGGUUGAUGGUUGGACUUGGUGAUCUUAGUGGUCUUUUCCAACCUUAAUGAUUGUGUGAACCUGUUGAGGCUUCUCCAACCUCCAUAAUCAUGGGGGGAGACCUCUACAGAGCUCCCUUCCACUUACAUAGUGUCUAAGGGUUGAACUCUUGCCAUAUGUCAGAAAUUAGGACCAAAGGAGGUCUUGUUGACCUCCUGUCCUGCCAUGAGAUAGAAUUGCCUGUGCUACUUUGCACAACACUGGGUCAUUCAGGUUAAUAUUUCCCCUGGAGAGAAGCAGCAUGAGUCAGAGUACCCACUUGGAAAGGAGAGACUGGGGUGAUUUGGAGUGGAAUGAUGGAGGGCCUUAUGACAAACUGCUCUGUAAUUACAUUGGCAAAGGUCUUCUGCCAACAAGGAGCAUAGCAGCACCUAGGUGGAUACAGGUGGCUUUGCAUUUCCUGGGUACCUCAAUUUGCUUUGUUUCUGCUCCAGAAGGAUGCUGAUUAACUGUGGGUGGUUCAGGGAAGAGCUGCCUGAACAGCUGAAGGUUUGGGGAUGGGGAUGACAGGAGCAGGGGGAGGCAGAUGCUGCCUGGUGUUACUGAGAAAAGGUUAAGGGGUAAUUUAUCAUUGUCUGUAAGUACCUGCUUGGGAGCAGUAAUUUGAGAUGAGAGCUUUUGAGUCUGUAUCACAAAAGGAUAACUGGAACUGUUGGCUGUGUGUUGGUGUGAGGUGCAUUUUCUGAGACACAGGCACAGCAAAAGGAGUGGGUGGGGGAAAGGCAUCACAGCUGUCAACAGGUGCUCCAGCCCUCCACCUCCAAUGGUUGCAGUCCCCUCUUUCCUUAACUCGGGAAUCCUGCACCUAUUUGCAAAUGACAAGGCUGAUGCAAGCAGAGUAGAAUAGGGUAUUUACCUCCUUCUGCCUAAAAAUCCCAACGUUGCCUUUGCCUUGCAAGAUGGAACAGAACCACUUACAAUCCCAGAUUUUCUACAGCCUGUUAAUCCCAAGAGAUGCAGACAUGUCAGACUUCUUGGCUUCAGGAAUUUCAACCCAAAGGAUAAUUAUGAAAAAACUCCCAAAUUGAUAUGCUUGAUCUUAAGAUUGUUACAACAGCCCCAAUAAUUUUGUUGGAAGUCCCAACCCCACUGAUUAAAUCACGUUCUUAAGCUGCAAUUCUCCACCUAUCUACAGUCAUUCUGUAUUUUGACACAGCAACCCCAGUGAUUUCCUACAACCAUAUCUCCCAUAACAUGCCUGGUUAUUAAUUCUCAGGAUGCAUCACACAGCUUCAGCAGUGAAAAGAUGCCCUCUGCAUUAUGGAAGAUAAAGUUCUUCAGGAAACUCAGCUCAGAAUGCAGUUUGGAGCUGGGAGGUCCCACUUUGCAGUGUCGACACGAGACAAGACUGCCACUUAAUUCUGAAAUCACAAUGUAUUCAAAGUCAUUACGUGCUAUCAAAAAUAUAAGGAAUUAUCAGAUGCAAAAUGAGGCAUUUAAUUCUCGUGUCAUCUAAAUCAGAAAUUUUCCCCCAUCACAUUUAAAUGGUGUGAUGAAGCCCUUAUGGGAAACCUGUUUGGCUGAAGAGACCAUGGCCAGUUUCAAGGAUUAACUACUCAGUACAAACCAUGGUGACUUUUCCUCAGCUGGAUGCCAUUAAACAGAGAUCAGUUCCAUUUGCUUUGUUGAAAGAAAGAAAAAAAAAAUAGAGAAAAAUAAAAGCUCUUUUUAGCUCCAACUCUGUGUCUAGCUUUGAGGAGCCUUGUCUUCAGAUAGUUGGAUAGACCAUGGCUGUCUAUGACAGGGACAGGACAGGAGCUUGCACCAGGAGGAGGCUGUGCUGCCACAGCAUUCAGCUCUGCAAGCCCAAACGUUGUGGCUGCCAACGUUCAGGUGAACAAUGCAAUUUACAUCCAAACACUGCUCCUGGGCAGCAGAAUGCAACCAGUCAACCAGAGCAAGGGCUGAUUAUGGGAAACAUCUGGGGUGAAAUGGGAAUUCCCCAUUCUCUAGUCAUUCCCUGGACUAUUUUAGGACAGCUUCUUCAUAAAAUGGAAGUGCAGUCUUCUCCAGAGCCCCACCUGUAUAACCAAGGGCAGGUUGGGCCAGAGGAAUGAAAUAAAUGAGCUUUUUAAUGGGCUUUAAUCACAAAUUGUCCUUCAGGGCUUGAUAGAGGUUUCUGCCACAUCAAAGAGAAAUCUCCUGUCCAUUUCAAGGGGAGAAGAAGCAAACUUGUGAACAGCACAUCAGAAUUAAACCUUGUAAAAGAUCACUGCACAUAGUAAAUGCACUGGUAGUGCUCAGGAGAAGGGAGAGAGCAACUGCUUGGCUGGUGAUUUAUCACACCUUUUGGACCCCCAAACUCUUUUGCAGACUUCAGAUGGGCUAUAGAAAGACAUGUCUAUAAUGGCUGUGUCCAACUAUCCACUCUUAAUGACCCAGUGGAACACCCAAAACAGGCAGAGCUUUGCCUGUUUCAACAUGAGAGUCCAUCUUCCAAAACAAGAGCUGCAGAGACUAUGUCUGGAUCAGGAGAGAGGGGCUCAUCUUUCCUUCUGCAGUCAUUUGGUGACUACAGCACAUGCCUGAGCGCUAGGAAAUGGUCAGUGAGCAAUGCCUAUCUCUUUUGCCUGUAAUAAUGCUUGUCCCUCAUAAGUACUUUGAGGACAUGAUAAUGGGAUAUUCAAACACAGGGAGCUCACUGUUGCUGCCAAUGGGACUUCCCCACUUUAUCAUGGAAGAUGGGAAAGAGUGACUACAGAUUGCACUUUCCUCCUUGCCGUCAUAUCAGGCUUCUGCUCUGCUUCCCUAGCUGGUUAAUACACUGCUUCUUAACUACAUCUCUUCAGAAAUGUCAGUCCAGAUGAUGUCAGAGCUGAAAGAUGACCUCUCAAGCCCUGGCCUGGGAGAGUAUUGGCUCCCUUCCUUAAAUCCACAUUGUACAGGGACUCUACAAGGAAGUCUGAACAGAUCUGUGGCCUUUAGCAGGGCAUGAGAAAGGGAGACUGCUCAGAUGGGAGAAGGACUUAUGGGCAGACAAUGAGGAUUUUUCAUGAUGUGACAUUUUAUUUGCGCUGAUAUGUUGACAUGAGUCCUGUGAGUCAUCAGGAGAGCUGACUUCUGGAUUCUCAGUUCUUAGCUCCUCUUUUGUCUACAGGGCUUGCUUCUUUCCGGGACUUAGCACUAAUGAAAUUAAAAUCUUUUGCUUCUGAAAGAAUUAUGGGUCUGGCUCAUGCCAAAAUAUUAAUUCUGUGGGAGAAAGGGGCAAUGUAAGCAUCUGAUGGGUGUGUGAGAUGGAUGAGAAAAAACAGAGGAAAAUUUUGUCUUAGUGUCAGGCUCUGCAAUUUUUGUUUUUUGGAGUUAGCUUCAUUUAAGACUAACUGAGCAUCAUAGGCAGUCAAUGGCUUAACAGAUAUCUGUGCCAAAGAACACGUUAUCUGCAAGUGAAAUAUCGUAACGGGUCUAUGUGAUGGAAAGCACUAGAAGGACAAGUUAUAAAUACAAGGUCCAUGUGGAGACUGUUUACUUGAGCACAGUGCACUUAAACACCUCAUUUAAAUAGCCCCUUAGCCUUAGCUAAGGGGAAUCCAUUUAUGGACAAUAGAUAAUCACAGAAUCAUAGAAAAAGUUGUGUUGGAAGGGACCUUAAAGAUGAUGUAGUUCCAGCCCCCUGCCAUGGAUGAUGGAUCUUGGCCCACUGUCCCCUCAGGGAAGGGACCUGACUGUGUCCCAGGGCCCGUGGCUUAGGAAAAUCAUUUAUGGAUUUGGUAUAUUGCUCAGGAAGCAUCUUGGGAAUGAUCAAGAAGGACACAACAGUAUAAUAGCAGAAUGAACAAGAUCUGUAAAUCUGAGUUGGUGACUGCCUUGGCUUGACUCUGCUCAGCCCACUGCUGUCCUUCAUCCAGUUCUUCUCAAGAGGUCCUCCGUUAUUGGGCAAUUCUGUGAUUUGUCAGAGGCCAAUCUCUGAAAGGUUCAUGACAAGAGAACAUGUAUACAUACAUAUUGUUCAGACAGACACGAUGUAUCUCCCCCAGUUUGCUCUGUCUGUGAUUCCUGGUAGAAUAUCUUGAUUAUAGUACCAUAAAGAUUCACAACUGAAGAGGGACCAUCAACGCAUACGCUCCGUCCACCUACAGAGCCAUUGGCAACUCUGUCAUACAUUGCCAGUCCAGGAGGAUCAACACAACAGUCAUUCCACAAACUGCAAGGCACCUUCAUGUUCCUCACAAUAAGGAUAAAGAGAGAAGAUAAAUACAAAUAAAUAUGAAUUUGCUAGAGGAAGGGAUACUAAGAGAACCAGAGCACUGUCACGGUCAUCGCAGAAAACUCUCCCUUUUUUAGCAAGACCAAGUUUUUAGAUAGAAACAGUGUAUUUUGUUAGGACAAUUAAUCUGGAGAAAAGAGCAAAUUUUUCAGAGGGGAUGGCCCUUCUCCAGGCUCUGACUGGAAGCAGAGGCCGGCCACCAUGCAAAGGAAUUAGAACAAACUCUGCAGGUGUAAUGGGGGUUGGGGAGGAAAGGGAAGAGUUCUUUCUCUACUGCAGCUCUAGGAUUCAGUGUAAAUACCAUCAUUCUUAGCUGAAUACAUCUUCAUUAGCCAGCAAAUCUGUGCUGACUGUCUUUCUGGAGAUUUGAUGUGCAAAGGAUGUCUCCAGGCCCAGCUGGAGGCAGAUUAGCCAUCCAUAGGAGUAUCCAUGUGGAAGGAGGUGCUGAGACAGAGCAAUCAAGCAAUUGUUUCAUAGGAAAGCUUGUGCCAAAGCUGUCAGUGUUGGCAUUGUUUUUAUCCUAACUCAAAAUAGCGUCACAAUCACGAUCCUGGAACCAACAGCCAUACAGGAGUCAUGACUUCAGAUGGCACAAAGGGAGCUGCUGUGAUUUUACCUACAGAUGUUUUAUAACAGGUGUACCUCAACCCAUAUCUCGAAGAACAAAAAGAGAAUCAGCUUAACAACUCUAUUUUAAACACGAGGUCUGUUUGAAACAAACCCUGUGGGGGUAGCAAAUUAUGCAGCGAAGUGCUGCUUACAAACAGAGGAAAAUGACUACAGAUGCAUGAAGAGCAAGAUUAAUGCAGCACCUACGCAUUUUAGAGCUAACACACACUGUACCGUCUUCUGAAAUGGUCUUCUAAGAAACGACUGUGACCUAAAACUGCAGCUGAGGGUUGGCAGCUCAUGGAAGUUGAGUUUUCCUUGUCCAGGUAUUCCAUGAGAAGGGAUGGUGCCUUCCUCUGGGUGUAUGGAGCACCCAGACCUAGAGAAGCCAUAGAUGCCAUUGCUGAGAUGCGACAGCGAUGAACAACUUUCUCUGACAUUUCCUCACAUAUUUGGAGCAUGUCUUCACGUGGGUAACUUCAAGGGGGGAAAUUUGUAUUUACAGAACAUCGAACUAGGAUGGGAUAAGCACCCCUGAAGAAAUGCUACCUAUUUUCAUUUCCCACCCUUAUGAUUCCAAUGUGUAGGAUUUUACAAUCUUCUUCCCCACACACAUUUCUAGCAGUUGUCUAAGCAUUCUACUCUGUUGCUACUAUGACCCAGAGGAAGAAACAAAAUGCUUUUUCCAUGGAAAAGAUGAAGAAAAUUCAUAGCUCAUCUAUUCCCCUCCUCCUUGGCUUUCACCCAGCCUUAUUCUUUCCAGGUGCCAUUCCACUGCACAGGAAGGCCUUGAACAUGCUCCCUUGUCAUCCUAGCAGGGAAGGUCACACUCUCCAUCUGUGGCCUCUGUCAAUGACAUCUGACUUGAAUUAAAAGUGUUGUGGGAGGAAGGGCAAGGGGACAUCAUAAAUCUUCAUAGGACUGUUUGAGUUGGAAGAGACACUUAAAGGCCAUCUGGUCCCACUACCCUGCAAUGAAUAGGGACACCCACAGCUCUAUCAGGUGCUCAGAGCCCCAUCCUGCCUGACCUGAAUGUUUCCAUGGGGCAUCCACCACCUCUCUGGACAACCUGUGCCUGUUCUUCACUGCCCUUAUUAUAAAAAAAAAACCUUUUCCAUAUAUACAGCCUAAAUCUUUCCUGAUACAAAUCUCAAGGGCAAAAAAAAAAACAAAACAAAACAAAGAAACAGAGAAGUCCCAGUUCUAGGCUCGAAAUAAUGUCUGUCUGGUGUGAGUAACUCCAACAGUGAUGGAGAUAUAUGUAUAAUUUCCUUCCUUGCAUAAGGGACUUAAUCUCAUCUCCUUGCGUGCAGGUCAAGGGACGACUAUGACACUUCCCAUUCUUAUGGCAGGGGAUGCUGGACACUGUUCCUUCCUACUGCAGAUGUGCAGAAAGCUGGUUGCCUUCUUCAUGUGACAUAAUGGGGUGAAAAUAGACAGAGUUGAUAAGAUGUGGGCUUAUGGAAUCAUAGAAUCAUUAAGGCUGGAAAAGACCACUAAGGUCAUCUAGUCCAGCCACCCUCCCAUCACCACCAUGCCCACUAUCCAUCCAAUGAUUUGCAAUCACACCAGAAAAAUGGCAAAAAUCCCAGCAUUUUUAUGAAGCCUAUUGCCAGAGACUGGAGAAUUACAUCAAUAAAUGUAACUGUAUGCUUGGUCUACUAUAACCUUCCCAAGGUCUGUUCUGGUGGCAGCUGCAUGUCAUCACAGGGCAUUGUGACUCUGCAGCUGGGCUGGAUGAGCCCUUGGCCCGCACUGGCAUUGCUGUUCUUCCAUGAAUUCACCCUGUCAGCUUUCCCCCUUCUUGUCCAUUCCCAGUUUGUCCUGAAGAAGGAAAGCACUCAGGAGGGCAGUGCACAAAAGAAUUAACUGCCCAACGAGGCUAUAUACAACCCUUAGGCCACAAGCAAACUGCCUUAGUGCAUUCAAGAGAUAUAUGCAUCAAAUGCAGCUUGACGGUCCGGGUCAUAUGUUACAGAUAGACCACACUUCCACCCCUCAAACAGAGCCAUGCUUUCCCUUUGCUUAGUCCCCUUUUUGGAGCAGCUCUAAUUUAUGAACAAGAUGAUAAAGAAACGAAGAAGAAUCCCGUCAAGGUUCUCUCUGUGAGUUGUAAAUUGUCCAUAUAUCAAAGAUAUUGCCUACAUCCAGCAUUUAAUGCUAUCAGUAAAAAUAUAAUGCGAAGGGGAAAAGAAGAAGUUGCUCACAAGGAGGAAUGAAUAACCUGUGUGAAAUAUUGAGCCUGUAAAACCAGCAUUUCUCCUUUUGGCUGGAAUGUUGGUAUUUCUUGCUAUUUAAUUUACAUAAAUCAAUGAUGAAAAAAAAGAUGUAAUAACAGAAUUCAGAUUCUCUAGCUGCAGGGAAGCUGGGAAAUGAGAGGAUGGAGCUUGGAGAUUAUCGACAUGCUCCAAAGAGAGCAGCACCAGAGAGAAUGGUUUUUCUGAGCUUCCCUUGCUCAAACAAGGUAGGCCCUAUGCCUACACCCCAAUGGUGAGGUAGCACUAGAAAAAAAGGACUAACAAAAUUGACACUUUUAAUGUUACGCUUGAUUCGAUUGCCUGGGCAAUUCUGAAAUGGUAGCUCUGACCAGUUCUGAUUGGUGAUAAAGUUGGAAAAAAAAAAGCCUUCGUAAUAUUCAGGUGUCUGUUGAAAAAUCUGUUCAAAAGCACCCAGAUGGGACCAAUGCCAUCCUACGAUGGCCUCAGGGCAAGAGAAGGGAGUGCUGAAAGGCAGUAAGUAGAACAGGGACCUGGUCUGAAUGUCAAGCUCCCUGACCCCAAGCCAACCCUUGUGCCCACUGAGCCUUCCCGAUCCAUGGAUGGAUCCCUGCAGGAUCCAUUCUUGGCUUUCCUUGUCUUUACAUGGUCAUCAGGGAAGGGAGCAGGGAGGACGUGAGUGGACCCUGUUGGUGGAACCUGGCAUGCAGCUCUGUGGGUCACACCAGGAAAGGAGAGUGGUUUUGUAAAUGUUCAGAUCCCAUAACUAACAAAGCCUGGCUUCAGUGACCACACAAGGGCACACAUCCAGAAAAAAAAAAAAGGCUGGAACAGGCAUCUUCUGAGUAACACAAUAUAUAUAUUUAUAUAUAUAUAUCUUAUUUAUUUUCUUCUGCCUUCCUUUGUUUUCUCUUCCUCUGCCCUGAAGAAGCUGUUGAUUAUAAUUUCAGUGCAGUUUGAGAUGCAAGCUUAAUGGAGCGGGCCUUUCUAUUUUUGUACCCCGUGCAUUGUCAUAUGAAAUAGCGUGGAUUAUAUUUUGUUGUUGUUGAUGCAUUGAAUAUACUUGAUAUUUAAAUCCAGCAGCGUUUAUAGCAGGCAGAGAUUCUGUGCUGGGAUCGGAGCAGCUCAGUGUGUGCUUGGUAUUAUUAUUCGUUUGGUAGGAGAUUGAGCUUCUGUCUCAUGGCUUUGUUCAUUUUGUUUUACUUCAGUUUAACCAAGUAAAGUUAAAGAAUAAUUCAGAAUGAUGUUUCUAGUCUUGGAUUUCUCCUUGAUUUCAAUUCUCCUAAUAUCUCCAUCUCCAUUAUGUGCUGCUUCUCCACUCUUUUAGAUUAGUUCACGUGCCAGAUAACCACACAAUUUCUACAUUUAGAACCCAUCCUCAUUUAAGAAGCCCUGAAAAGGGCUAAGAACAGAUAUAAUAAUGGAUUAAGAGCAGACAUAAUAGACCCUAACAGCACUGACUGGAAAGCUCCAAUUUAAAGGGAUGUGGUGAAAACUAUCAGUGGGCAAUGAUUUCAUGCAGAACUUGACUUGCAGAGCAGGCCAGCAGUGCAUCUACUGGCCUGAAUUU